AGAGUUUGAUCAUGGCUCAGGAUGAACGCUGGCGGCGUGCCUAACACAUGCAAGUCGAACGGACUUACAUUGAAGCCUAGCGAUAUGUAAGUUAGUGGCGGACGGGUGAGUAACGCGUGGGUAACCUGCCUUGUACUGGGGGACAACAGUUGGAAACGACUGCUAAUACCGCAUAAGCGCACAGCUUCGCAUGAAGCAGUGUGAAAAACUCCGGUGGUACAAGAUGGACCCGCGUCUGAUUAGCUGGUUGGUGAGGUAACGGCCCACCAAGGCAACGAUCAGUAGGGGUUCUGAGAGGAAGGUCCCCCACAUUGGAACUGAGACACGGUCCAAACUCCUACGGGAGGCAGCA
rnacentral:rRNA from 1 species